CAGCCGCCACGGGAAUACGAACCGUGCGAACGUUAUUCGGAAUCACUGGGCUUAAAGCGCGUGUAGGCGGGAGGGCACGUCCGUCGCUGAAAUCCCCCGGCUCAACCGGGGAACGGGCGCGGAUACGACUCUUCUGGAGGAACGUAGGGGGACCUGGAACCUCCGGUGGAGCGGUGAAAUGCGUUGAGAUCGGAAGGAACGCCCGUGGCGAAAGCGAGGUCCUGGACGUUUACUGACGCUGAGGCGCGAAAGCGUGGGGAGCAAACAGGAUUAGAUACCCGCGUAGUCCCUGUCUCUUAUU
rnacentral:rRNA from 1 species